rnacentral:rRNA from 1 species
AUACCGUGAAACUGCGAAUGGCUCAUUAAAUCAGUUAUCGUUUAUUUGAUAAUACCUUACUACUUGGAUAACCGUGGUAAUUCUAGAGCUAAUACAUGCUGAAAAUCCCGACUUCGGAAGGGAUGUGUUUAUUAGAUAAAAAACCAAUGCCCUUCGGGGCUUUUUGGUGAUUCAUGAUAACUUUACGGAUCGCAUAGCCUUGCGCUGGCGACGGUUCAUUCAAAUUUCUGCCCUAUCAACUUUCGAUGGUAAGGUAUUGGCUUACCAUGGUUUCAACGGGUAACGGGGAAUUAGGGUUCGAUUCCGGAGAGGGAGCCUGAGAAACGGCUACCACAUCCAAGGAAGGCAGCAGGCGCGCAAAUUACCCAAUCCCGACACGGGGAGGUAGUGACAAUAAAUACUGAUACAGGGCUCUUUUGGGUCUUGUAAUUGGAAUGAGUACAAUUUAAACCUCUUAACGAGGAACAAUUGGAGGGCAAGUCUGGUGCCAGCAGCCGCGGUAAUUCCAGCUCCAAUAGCGUAUAUUAAAGUUGUUGCAGUUAAAAAGCUCGUAGUUGAAACUUGGGUCUGGCUGGCGGGUCCGCCUCACCGCGUGCACUCGUCCGGCCGGGCCUUCCUUCUGAAGAACCUCAUGCCCUUCACUGGGCGUGUUGGGGAAUCAGGACUUUUACUUUGAAAAAAUUAGAGUGUUCAAAGCAGGCCUUUGCUCGAAUACGUUAGCAUGGAAUAAUAAAAUAGGGCGUGCGUUUCUAUUUUUGUUGGUUUCUAGAGACGCCGCAAUGAUUAACAGGAACAGUCGGGGGGCAUCAGUAUUCAGUUGUCAGAGGUGAAAUUCUUGGAUUUACUGAAGACUAACUACUGCGAAAGCAUUUGCCAAGGAUGUUUUCAUUAAUCAGUGAACGAAAGUUAGGGGAUCGAAGACGAUCAGAUACCGUCGUAGUCUUAACCGUAAACUAUGCCGACUAGGGAUCGGGCGAUGUUCUUUUUCUGACUCGCUCGGCACCUUACGAGAAAUCAAAGUUUUUGGGUCUGGGGG